GAAAAAAAAAUCAGAUAGAAUUACUCAACAAAAAAUGGUGAAAUUGAUUCUAUUUGUGAAUUUGAUUUUGAUUUUUAUCAUUUCUGUAAAUUCUCAAAUUCCAUAUGGAUUCUGGUACAGCGGCGAUGGCGAAAUCGAUUUAACAAAAUCAAUAGUAAUCGAAGCUUUUUUAGAUCCAGUUUGCCCAGACAGUAGAGAUUCAUGGCCGCCUCUGAAAAAAGCUCUGCAUCACUACGGUUCUCGUGUUUCUCUUGUUGUUCAUACUUUUCCUUUGCCUUACCAUGACAAUGCAUAUACUACCUCGCGCGCGUUGCACAUUGUCAAUAAGUUGAAUUCUUCUGCCACAUACAGAUUACUAGAGGCUUUCUUUGAUCAGCAGGACAAGUUUUAUAACCAUGCGACGUUCAACUUGUCCAAAGCAUCUGUUGUAGAUGAAGUCGCAAAAUUUACAUCAAAUGAAAUUGGGAAUUCGAAUUACGCUGCUAUAAAGGCUGGAUUUUCUGACCCCAAAACUGAUCAAGCAACAAGAAUUUCCUUCAAGUAUGGUUGUAAGAAAGGCGUAUAUGGGGCACCUUUUUUCUUCGUAAACGGGUUUCUUCUACCUGAUGGUGGCUCACCAUUGGACUACAAAACAUGGAGAGAUGUCCUUGAUCCAUUGAUUCCACCUGAAGAACAAUCAAGGACUGAAAAUUUGAAUUUCUUCUUGUGAAUCUGCACUCAUUAUCACCUAAGGUUCUGAGCUAGAGAGACAAAUUAAACCCAAUAGUUCUUAUGUGUAGUUAUAUAAUGAAGUUUAUUACUUCUAUAUCUUAUGGUUUUCCUUUAGCAUCUAUCAAAAACAGCCUGUCUAUCGUUGGGAAUAGGGGUAAGGGUCUAUAUUACAAUCUACCCUCUCGAGACAUGACUUUGUGUAACUACAUUAGGUAUGUUAUUGUUGUUCUUAUAUAUCUUAUGGUUAUGGAAAUGAAAAUACUAAUUUG
rnacentral:misc_RNA from 1 species